CUCCUACCAACAGUUUGAAAAUUCUAUUUUCAAAGAAAAUGAAAUAGCUUCCAGUCCCACCUCUGCUUCUUGAAAUUCUCGCCUCAGCCCUCAUCAUUUUCUGCUUAUUUCAAUAAUUCAGUGCCUAGAAUUUUAACCAUUUCCAAUAAAGCUCCCUUUUGUCUUUAGAAAUACAAUCAUUGAUGCACCAGUCAAGUUUAAUCAACACAGCAAAAUUUUAUGUGGAGCAUCUUUGUCCUUCUUCCCUCUCACUAAAAAUAGAGGAUUUUGAAGGUUAAUUAUGGCCAUCAACAACCUUCUUGUCUUUAUUUGUUGCAUAUUUAUUUUGAGUUUUCAAUUUUCUGAAGCAAUUCAAGCUGGUUCUCUUGUCACCAAUUUGCCUGGUUUCACUGGAAAGUUUCCAUCCAAACA